CCUACGGGAGGCAGCAGUGGGGAAUUUUGGACAAUGGGGGCAACCCUGAUCCAGCAAUGCCGCGUGAGUGAAGAAGGCCUUCGGGUUGUAAAGCUCUUUUGUCAGGGAAGAAACAGCAGCUCUAACACAGUCUGCGAAUGACGGUACCUGAAGAAUGAGCACCGGCUAACUACGUGCCAGCAGCCGCGGUAAUACGUAGGGUGCGAGCGUUAAUCGGAAUUACUGGGCGUAAAGCGUGCGCAGGCGGUUAUACAAGACAGGCGUGAAAUCCCCGGGCUUAACCUGGGAAUGGCGUCUGUGACUGUAUAGCUAGAGUGUGUCAGAGGGGGGUGGAAUUCCACGUGUAGCAGUGAAAUGCGUAGAUAUGUGGAGGAACACCAAUGGCGAAGGCAGCCCCCUGGGAUAACACUGACGCUCAUGCACGAAAGCGUGGGGAGCAAACAGGAUUAGAUACCCUGGUAGUCCACGCCCUAAACGAUGCUGACUAGUUGUUGGGAAUUUACAUUCUCAGUAACGUAGCUAACGCGUGAAGUCAGCCGCCUGGGGAGUACGGUCGCAAGAUUAAAACUCAAAUGAAUUGACGG
rnacentral:rRNA from 1 species